ACAGACGGCUUGCUCUCAUUCCAUAGUCUUCUUCUCAGAUCUCAGAUCUUCUUUCGCAUCUCAGAUCUCUGAACGCCACAGCCUCGUUGUCGCCAACUGGUCUCAGAUCUUCUCAGAUCUCAGAUAUUCUUUCGCAUCUCAGAUCUCAGAACACCACAGCCUCGUUGUCGCCAACUGGUCUCAGAUCUUCUUCUCAAAUCUCAGAUCUCAAAUCUCACUGGUCUGCUACACUGCUUUGCCAACUGCUCCUUCACGCCGCCGAGCUCGUUGUCGCCGCCGACGGCUCCUUCUCACCGUUGCUCACAGGUUAGCAUAACAUCUCUUCUUCCUUUUGAUUUUCUUUUUCUGCACUUAUAUUUGAUUUAGUGAUGUCAUGGAGGAUAAUCUGGGAAGAAGAAUGCUAGAGGAAGAGGGAUUAGGACUGUGGAGUGUGUCACUGCUCAUUCUGGCUCUCCUAAACGAUGCAAUACCUCCAAAAUGCAGCACAAUUUGAAGUCAAUUUCAAUUUAAUAGAGUCACCUUAAGUUGAGGAACUUGAGGAAGUUAGACAAUUGUCCAGGUAUGAUCCAUGUACAGAAAAGUAUGCAGAGAUAUACUACAAUAGACCAGAUAUUCAGAAAGCACUUCUUGCUAACACUACUGGAAUUCCUUAUAAGUGGACUGCUUGCAGUGAGGUUUUGAAUCGAAACUGGAAUGAUACAGAUGUAUCAGUGCUACCAAUUUAUAGACAGUUGAUGGCCAAUAGAAUAAGAGUUUGGGUGUUCAGUGGAGACGUAAAUUCAGUGGUGCCGGUCACAGCAAUAGAUAUGCACUUGCACAGCUUAAGGUGGCAACUAAAAUACCAUGGUAUCCUUGGUAUGUCAAAAAUCAGUGAAAUGAUUCAAUAGAAAACAUGCCCAAUGGAAUGCAGCUAAGAAGGAAGAAAAGAAAAUGGUUAAUUUGAAGGACAAGUGGAGAAACAUGAUGCGGUAGUGAUGCACAUGUGUAGAUCUAAGGGAGGUUCUAACUUCUAUGGAUGCAACCAAGUUUUUUUAAAAGAGGGACCUAAGACCUAAGUACCAACUAUGCUGCCAAUACACUUCAGUUUUAUAUUUGGUUUUAAGAGCUCAUCCAAAGCUGUUUCUAUUUUGUGCUGUCCAAGUUGCAAGCACUACUUUUCUACAUUGCUUCUAAAGAAGGAGAUAAGAUUUCGGAGCAAUUGACUAUAUUAUGUUCCUAAUCAACAAGCUUCACAGGAAGCUAGAGCUUUACUAGGAAGCCUUGAAUAUCAGAAGGGUAAUUUUGAAGCUGCACUUCAUGUAUUUGAAGGACUAGACAUUGCUGCUGUUGCUCCAAAGAUGAAAAUUUCUAUAUCACCUAUUCCUGCUGCACUUUAUUCUUUUUUAUUAUGUUUUCAAAUUAUAUUUUUGUUGUAGGAAUUGAAUCAAGAGAGUGAGAUUUCAUCGCCAAAAGAGUUAAGAAGUAGGUCUUCUGGCACAAGCAAUAGAGCAGCAUGAACUAUGAUGGAAAUUUUGUAGUUAAGAGUUACAUGUUAUGACAUUUAUAGUUGAAAAAAUAUGUUAUGUUUGAUAUUUUGUAUAAGAGUUAUUACUUUUGAUUUUCAAUACUAAAAAAUCAUAUAUUAUAUUUAA